rnacentral:lncRNA from 12 species
AUGGAGAAUUUGGGAGGAGAACUGGAGAUGGAGAAUUGGAAAUGGGGAAUUUGGGAGAACUGGAGAUGGGGAAUUGAGGAUGGGGAAUUUGGGAGGAGAAUUGGGGAUGGGGAAUUGGAAAUGGGGAAUUUGGGAGGAGAAUUGGGGAUGGGGAAUUGGAAAUGGGGAAUUUGGGAGGAGAAUUGGGGAUGGGGAAUUGGAAAUGGGGAAUUUGGGAGGAGAAUUGGGGAUGGGGAAUUGGAAAUGGGGAAUUUGGGAGGAGAAUUGGGGAUGGGGAAUUGGAAAUGGGGAAUUUGGGAGGAGAAUUGGGGAUGGGGAAUUGGAAAUGGGGAAUUUGGGAGGAGAAUUGGGGAUGGGGAAUUGGAAAUGGGGAAUUUGGGAGGAGAAUUGGGGAUGGGGAAUUGGAAAUGGGGAAUUUGGGAGGAGAAUUGGGGAUGGGGGAAACUGAGGGAUUCCCCCCGGACUCUCCAUUCCCAAUUCCACCUUCUGCUCCCAUCCUGAUUGCAGCCUCAGCCGUUUUUCAGAGCAGGAUUUGUGCUGACCCCCCGACCCCCCCUGACCCCCCCGGGGGGGGGGGGGGGGGGGGGGGGGGGGGGGGGGGGGGGGGGGGGGGGGGGG